rnacentral:hammerhead_ribozyme from 1 species
AUCCAGCUGACGAGUUCCGAAUAGUAUGAAACGCGCGUCCUGGAU